AGAGUUUGAUCAUGGCUCAGAUUGAACGCUGGCGGCAGGCCUAACACAUGCAAGUCGAACGGUAACAGGAAGCAGCUUGCUGCUUUGCUGACGAGUGGCGGACGGGUGAGUAAUGUCUGGGAAACUGCCUGAUGGAGGGGGAUAACUACUGGAAACGGUGGCUAAUACCGCAUAACGUCGCAAGACCAAAGAGGGGGACCUUCGGGCCUCUUGCCAUCAGAUGUGCCCAGAUGGGAUUAGCUUGUUGGUGAGGUAACGGCUCACCAAGGCGACGAUCCCUAGCUGGUCUGAGAGGAUGACCAGCCACACUGGAACUGAGACACGGUCCAGACUCCUACGGGAGGCAGCAGUGGGGAAUAUUGCACAAUGGGCGCAAGCCUGAUGCAGCCAUGCCGCGUGUAUGAAGAAGGCCUUCGGGUUGUAAAGUACUUUCAGCGGGGAGGAAGGUGUUGUGGUUAAUAACCGCAGCAAUUGACGUUACCCGCAGAAGAAGCACCGGCUAACUCCGUGCCAGCAGCCGCGGUAAUACGGAGGGUGCAAGCGUUAAUCGGAAUUACUGGGCGUAAAGCGCACGCAGGCGGUCUGUCAAGUCGGAUGUGAAAUCCCCGGGCUCAACCUGGGAACUGCAUUCGAAACUGGCAGGCUUGAGUCUUGUAGAGGGGGGUAGAAUUCCAGGUGUAGCGGUGAAAUGCGUAGAGAUCUGGAGGAAUACCGGUGGCGAAGGCGGCCCCCUGGACAAAGACUGACGCUCAGGUGCGAAAGCGUGGGGAGCAAACAGGAUUAGAUACCCUGGUAGUCCACGCCGUAAACGAUGUCUACUUGGAGGUUGUGCCCUUGAGGCGUGGCUUCCGGAGCUAACGCGUUAAGUAGACCGCCUGGGGAGUACGGCCGCAAGGUUAAAACUCAAAUGAAUUGACGGGGGCCCGCACAAGCGGUGGAGCAUGUGGUUUAAUUCGAUGCAACGCGAAGAACCUUACCUGGUCUUGACAUCCACAGAAGAAUCCAGAGAUGGAUUUGUGCCUUCGGGAACUGUGAGACAGGUGCUGCAUGGCUGUCGUCAGCUCGUGUUGUGAAAUGUUGGGUUAAGUCCCGCAACGAGCGCAACCCUUAUCCUUUGUUGCCAGCGGUUAGGCCGGGAACUCAAAGGAGACUGCCAGUGAUAAACUGGAGGAAGGUGGGGAUGACGUCAAGUCAUCAUGGCCCUUACGACCAGGGCUACACACGUGCUACAAUGGCGCAUACAAAGAGAAGCGACCUCGCGAGAGCAAGCGGACCUCAUAAAGUGCGUCGUAGUCCGGAUUGGAGUCUGCAACUCGACUCCAUGAAGUCGGAAUCGCUAGUAAUCGUGGAUCAGAAUGCCACGGUGAAUACGUUCCCGGGCCUUGUACACACCGCCCGUCACACCAUGGGAGUGGGUUGCAAAAGAAGUAGGUAGCUUAACCUUCGGGAGGGCGCUUACCACUUUGUGAUUCAUGACUGGGGUGAAGUCGUAACAAGGUAACCGUAGGGGAACCUGCGGUUGGAUCACCU
rnacentral:rRNA from 11 species